rnacentral:rRNA from 1 species
UGUUGACAUUAUAGUUGUGCAGGCACUUUGUUGACUCUAGAGAACCUCGGUCCAAUUGCACAUACCCAUGACUGCGACUUUGCAUUCGGAUGUCAUCCAUAUCAACUUUCAAUGCCAGUUCCUGCGCCUACCAUGGUGACCACGGGUAACGGGGAAUCAGAGUUCCAUUCCGUACAGGGACCCUGAGAAAUGGCUACCACAUGCAAGGAAGGCAGCAAGCGCGCAAAUGACCCACUCCCGACACGGGAAGGUAGUGACGACA